ACAGAGGUUCUUGAUUUAAUCUCUAAACUGACGAAAAGGUUGUUCCAGUUGAAGCUAAGAUAUGUUUGUUGCACAUAUACCCUGAGGAUUUCCCAGUGACUGUAAAGGAACGUAAACUAAUUAAUUUUUGUCUGCUACAAGCUAAAUAUGUAAUUGCCUUAAAAUGGAAGGAGCUUCAGGGACCUACCUCUGGCCAAAAGAGUAUAGAGUUU